rnacentral:rRNA from 1 species
UACGUAGGGUGCAAGCGUUGUCCGGAAUUAUUGGGCGUAAAGAGCUCGUAGGCGGUUCGUCGCGUCGGCUGUGAAAACCCGGAGCUCAACUCCGGGCCUGCAGUCGAUACGGGCGGACUUGAGUGUUGCAGGGGAGACUGGAAUUCCUGGUGUAGCGGUGAAAUGCGCAGAUAUCAGGAGGAACACCGGUGGCGAAGGCGGGUCUCUGGGCAACUACUGACGCUGAGGAGCGAAAGCGUGGGUAGCAAACAGG